rnacentral:rRNA from 1 species
GCCAGAGACCGAUAGCGCACAAGUAGAGUGAUCGAAAGAUGAAAAGCACUUUGAAAAGAGGGUUAAACAGCACGUGAAAUUGUUAAAAGGGAAGCGCUUGUGACCAGACUUGCGUCCGGUGAAUCACCCAGCUCUCGCGGCUGGGGCACUUCGCCGGCUCAGGCCAGCAUCAGCUCGCUGUCGGGGACAAAAGCUUCAGGAACGUAGCUCUCUUCGGGGAGUGUUAUAGCCUGUUGCAUAAUACCCUUCGGCGGGCUGAGGUACGCGCUCCGCAAGGAUGCUGGCAUAAUGGUCAUCAGCGACCCGUCUUGAAACACGGACCAAG